AGAAUCAACGCUGGCGGCGUGCCUAACACAUGCAAGUCGAACGAGAAAGUGGAGCAAUCCAUGAGUAAAGUGGCGACCGGGUGAGUAACACGUGACUAACCUACCUUCGAGUGGGGGAUAACCUAGGGAAACCUGGGCUAAUACCGCAUAACAUCUUUGGAUCGGAAGAACUGGAGAUCAAAGGGCAAUUCGCUUGAAGAGGGGGUCGCGGCUGAUUAGCUAGUUGGCGGGUAAUGGCCCACCAAGGCUUUGAUCGGUA
rnacentral:rRNA from 1 species